UACUGAGACACGGACCAGACUCCUACGGGAGGCAGCAGUAAGGAAUAUUGGUCAAUGGAGGCAACUCUGAACCAGCCAUGCCGCGUGCAGGAAGACAGCCCUCUGGGUCGUAAACUGCUUUUAUUCGGGAAUAAACCUUAUUACGUGUAAUAAGCUGAAUGUACCGAAGGAAUAAGGAUCGGCUAACUCCGUGCCAGCAGCCGCGGUAAUACGGAGGAUCCAAGCGUUAUCCGGAUUUAUUGGGUUUAAAGGGUGCGUAGGCGGCCUAUUAAGUCAGGGGUGAAAGACGGUGGCUCAACCAUCGCAGUGCCCUUGAUACUGAUGAGCUUGAAUGAACUAGAGGUAGGCGGAAUGUGACAAGUAGCGGUGAAAUGCAUAGAUAUGUCACAGAACACCGAUUGCGAAGGCAGCUUACUAUGGUUUUAUUGACGCUGAGGCACGAAAGCGUGGGGAUCAAACAGGAUUAGAUACCCUGGUAGUCCACGCCCUAAACGAUGAAUACUCGCUGUUAGCGAUAUACAGUUAGCGGCUAAGCGAA
rnacentral:rRNA from 1 species